UAACUAGUAAGAAAAUUAAGUAAUCGUAUUCGAUAUAAGAGCAAAAAUAGAAUGAAACAUUUUCUCACAGAAAAUAAUAUAAAUUUAUAUCUGACUAAUAAUAGUCAGAUUACAAACUAUUCUGACAAGGCUCUACUGAUCUUUCAAUUGCUUCCCAUUUCUAGUUGAGUAUCUUGUUCUUCCUUGAAUAUACUGCUUAGUACUUGCUGCGAUACACGAUUGAUACCUCAUCUUCUUUAUCUUCUUGGCUCUCGGAUAUACUCCGUCCCUUGGCAAUCUUCGAAUUUGAGCUCUUGCUACCGUACAGGUUAAGUACCAGCUCUUAUUGAUCUUUUUAGUUCUCGAAUAUAUUCCCUCCCUUGUCGUUCAUCAAGUCCCCCUUCCUGCUUCUGUACUGGAUUAGUAUUCGUAUCUGAUUUUUUUGCUCUUUUUGGUUCUCAAAUAUAUUCCAUUCCUUGUCGAUCUUGAAAUU
rnacentral:lncRNA from 1 species